GUUCACUCCAGCAGCACAUAUACUAAAAUUGGAACUAAUCAGAGAAGAUUGGCAUGGCCCCUGUACAAGGAUGGCAUUCAAAAUUGUUAAGUGUUCCAUAUUUAA